rnacentral:rRNA from 1 species
AUACGGAAGGUCCGGGCGUUAUCCGGAUUUAUUGGGUUUAAAGGGAGCGCAGGCGGAGAUGCAAGCGUGACGUCAAAUUUCGGGGCUCAACCCCGUCUCGCGUCGCGAACUGCGUCCCUUGGUUGCGGGAAGGGGAGGCGGAACUCGUGGGGGAGCGGUGGAAUGCAUAGAGAUCACGAAGAACUCCGAUCGCGAAGGCAGCCUUCCGGCCCGUCAACGACGCUCAUGCUCGAAGGUGCGGGUAUCAAACAGGAUUAGAUACCCUGGUAGUCCGCACAGUAAACGAUGGACACCCGCGGUUUGGCCUAUAUGGCUGAGCCGCCAAGCGAAAGCGUUAAGUGUCCCACCUGGGGAGUACGCCGGCAACGGUGAAACUCAAAGGAAUUGACGGGG